rnacentral:rRNA from 1 species
AGAUUGAACGCUGGCGGCAUGCCUUACACAUGCAAGUCGAACGGCAGCACGGGAGCAAUCCUGGUGGCGAGUGGCGAACGGGUGAGUAAUAUAUCGGAACGUGCCCAGUCGUGGGGGAUAACGCAGCGAAGGCUGUGCUAAUACCGCAUACGAUCUAUGGAUGAAAGCGGGGGAUCGCAAGACCUCGCGCGAUUGGGGGCGCCGAUAUCAGAUUAGCUAGUUGGUGGGGUAAAAGCCUACCAAGGCGACGAUCUGUAGCUGGUCUGAGAGGACGACCAGCCACACUGGAACUGAGACACGGUCCAGACUCCUACGGGAGCAGCAGUGGGAAUUUUGGACAAGUGGGCGCAAGCCUGACUCCAGCAAUCGCCGCGUGCAGGAUGAACGGCCGUUCGGGUUAGUAAACGU